rnacentral:tRNA from 4 species
GGAAGGUUAUCCUAAUUUGGUAAGGAAUCGGUCUUGAAAACCGACGUCGUAAGACUUUAGAGUUCGAGUCUCUAACCUUCCGCCA